rnacentral:rRNA from 1 species
CGGCGGACGGGUGAGUAACGCGUGGGUAACCUGCCUCAUACAGGGGAGUAACAGUUAGAAAUGACUGCUAAUACCGCAUAAGACCACGGUACCGCAUGGUACAGUGGUAAAAACUCCGGUGGUAUGAGAUGGACCCGCGUCUGAUUAGGUAGUUGGUGGGGUAACGGCCUACCAAGCCGACGAUCAGUAGCCGACCUGAGAGGGUGACCGGCCACAUUGGGACUGAGACACGGCCCAG